UAGAUUAAGUUAUUAAGGGCGCACGGUGGAUGCCUUGGCACUAGAAGCCGAUGAAGGACGUUACUAACGACGAUAUGCUUUGGGGAGCUGUAAGUAAGCUUUGAUCCAGAGAUUUCCGAAUGGGGAAACCCAGCAUGAGUUAUGUCAUGUUAUCGAUAUGUGAAUACAUAGCAUAUCAGAAGGCACACCCGGAGAACUGAAACAUCUUAGUACCCGGAGGAAGAGAAAGAAAAUUCGAUUCCCUUAGUAGCGGCGAGCGAAACGGGAAGAGCCCAAACCAACAAGCUUGCUUGUUGGGGUUGUAGGACACUCUAUACGGAGUUACAAAGGACGACAUUAGACGAAUCAUCUGGAAAGAUGAAUCAAAGAAGGUAAUAAUCCUGUAGUCGAAAAUGUUGUCUCUCUUGAGUGGAUCCUGAGUACGACGGAGCACGUGAAAUUCCGUCGGAAUCUGGGAGGACCAUCUCCUAAGGCUAAAUACUCUCUAGUGACCGAUAGUGAACCAGUACCGUGAGGGAAAGGUGAAAAGCACCCCGGAAGGGGAGUGAAAUAGAACCUGAAACCGUGUGCUUACAAGUAGUCAGAGCCCGUUAAUGGGUGAUGGCGUGCCUUUUGUAGAAUGAACCGGCGAGUUACGAUUUGAUGCAAGGUUAAGCAGUAAAUGUGGAGCCGUAGCGAAAGCGAGUCUGAAUAGGGCGUUUAGUAUUUGGUCGUAGACCCGAAACCAGGUGAUCUACCCUUGGUCAGGUUGAAGUUCAGGUAACACUGAAUGGAGGACCGAACCGACUUACGUUGAAAAGUGAGCGGAUGAACUGAGGGUAGCGGAGAAAUUCCAAUCGAACCUGGAGAUAGCUGGUUCUCUCCGAAAUAGCUUUAGGGCUAGCCUCAAGUGAUGAUUAUUGGAGGUAGAGCACUGUUUGGACGAGGGGCCCCUCUCGGGUUACCGAAUUCAGACAAACUCCGAAUGCCAAUUAAUUUAACUUGGGAGUCAGAACAUGGGUGAUAAGGUCCGUGUUCGAAAGGGAAACAGCCCAGACCACCAGCUAAGGUCCCAAAAUAUAUGUUAAGUGGAAAAGGAUGUGGCGUUGCCCAGACAACUAGGAUGUUGGCUUAGAAGCAGCCAUCAUUUAAAGAGUGCGUAAUAGCUCACUAGUCGAGUGACACUGCGCCGAAAAUGUACCGGGGCUAAACAUAUUACCGAAGCUGUGGAUUGUCCUUUGGACAAUGGUAGGAGAGCGUUCUAAGGGCGUUGAAGCAUGAUCGUAAGGACAUGUGGAGCGCUUAGAAGUGAGAAUGCCGGUGUGAGUAGCGAAAGACGGGUGAGAAUCCCGUCCACCGAUUGACUAAGGUUUCCAGAGGAAGGCUCGUCCGCUCUGGGUUAGUCGGGUCCUAAGCUGAGGCCGACAGGCGUAGGCGAUGGAUAACAGGUUGAUAUUCCUGUACCACCUAUAAUCGUUUUAAUCGAUGGGGGGACGCAGUAGGAUAGGCGAAGCGUGCGAUUGGAUUGCACGUCUAAGCAGUAAGGCUGAGUAUUAGGCAAAUCCGGUACUCGUUAAGGCUGAGCUGUGAUGGGGAGAAGACAUUGUGUCUUCGAGUCGUUGAUUUCACACUGCCGAGAAAAGCCUCUAGAUAGAAAAUAGGUGCCCGUACCGCAAACCGACACAGGUAGUCAAGAUGAGAAUUCUAAGGUGAGCGAGCGAACUCUCGUUAAGGAACUCGGCAAAAUGACCCCGUAACUUCGGGAGAAGGGGUGCUCUUUAGGGUUAACGCCCAGAAGAGCCGCAGUGAAUAGGCCCAAGCGACUGUUUAUCAAAAACACAGGUCUCUGCUAAACCGUAAGGUGAUGUAUAGGGGCUGACGCCUGCCCGGUGCUGGAAGGUUAAGAGGAGUGGUUAGCUUCUGCGAAGCUACGAAUCGAAGCCCCAGUAAACGGCGGCCGUAACUAUAACGGUCCUAAGGUAGCGAAAUUCCUUGUCGGGUAAGUUCCGACCCGCACGAAAGGCGUAACGAUUUGGGCACUGUCUCAACGAGAGACUCGGUGAAAUCAUAGUACCUGUGAAGAUGCAGGUUACCCGCGACAGGACGGAAAGACCCCGUGGAGCUUUACUGUAGCCUGAUAUUGAAAUUCGGCACAGCUUGUACAGGAU
rnacentral:rRNA from 1 species